rnacentral:rRNA from 1 species
CCUACGGGAGGCAGCAGUGGGGAAUAUUCCACAAUGGGCGAAAGCCUGAUGGAGCAACGCCGCGUGGGUGAAGACGGUCUUCUGAUCGUAAAACCCUGUUGUUAGAGAAGCAAGUGCGUGAGAGUAACUGUUCACGUUUCGACGGUAUCUAACCAGAACGCCACGGCUAACUACGUGCCAGCAGCCGCGGUAAUACGAAGGGGGCAAGCGUUAUCCGGAUUUAUUGGGCGUAAAGGGAACGCAGGCGGUCUUUUAAGGGUGAUGGUAAAGCCUUCGGGUUAACCGGAGUAGGGCAGUUGAAACUGGGGGACUUGAGUGCAGGAGAGGAGUGUGGAACGCCAUGUGUAGCGGUGAAAUGCGUAGAUAUAUGGAAGAACACCAGUGGCGAAAGCGGCUCUCUGGUCUGUAACUGACGCUGAGGUUCGAAAGCGUGGGGAGCAAACAGGAUUAGAUACCCGGGUAGUC